UCCUUCAAAAAGAGGAAAAUCUGGAGAGAGAAAGAGACAUGCACACAGGGAGAACUACAUAUGAAGACUGGAGUUAUGCUGUGAGAACACAAAGAUCAACCAGAAACAGAGAGACCUGACUGUCCUUAAAUGCUUGCUAACAAUUGGCUGGACCUUGGUUUCGAAGGAGUCCCGGGAGCGCUGACUGCAGUGCUCCGAGGUCGAGAAGCAGCGUGCCCUGGCCCGCUUCACUGAGCGGCAGUCAGUCUACCGGCUCACUGACAGGGGACAGACCUGAGACUGAACCCCAGCCUUCACACUUGGAGAAAGUGUGACCUUGGAGAGUUCCUUAACCUCGCCCCAUCCUGGUUUCCUUA